rnacentral:rRNA from 1 species
UACAGAGGGGGCAAGCGUUGUUCGGAAUCACUGGGCUUAAAGGGCGCGUAGGCGGGCUGUCAAGUCUGGGGUGAAAUCCCUCGGCUUAACCGAGGAACUGCCUGUCAGACUGCAUGGCUUGAGACCGGGAGAGGUGAGUGGAAUUCCCAGUGUAGCGGUGAAAUGCGUAGAUAUUGGGAGGAACACCAGUGGCGAAGGCGGCUCACUGGACCGGUACUGACGCUGAGGCGCGAAAGCGUGGGGAGCAAACAGG